rnacentral:tRNA from 1 species
GCUGUGGUAGCUCAGUGGAUUGAGCGUCAUCCCACGGACCAAGAGGUCCUGGGUUCGAUUCCCGGUCAGGGCA